UCCCACUACGGUGGGACCUAUACUAAAAUUGGAACGAUACAGAGAAGAUAAGCAU
rnacentral:snRNA from 1 species